GACAGAGGGUGCAAACGUUGUCCGGAUUUACUGGGCGUAAAGCGCACGUAGGCGGAUUGUUAAGUCAGGGGUGAAAUCCCGGGGCUCAACCCCGGAACUGCCUUUGAUACUGGCAUUCUCGAGUCCGGAAGAGGUGAGUGGAAUUCCGAGUGUAGAGGUGAAAUUCGUAGAUAUUCGGAGGAACACCAGUGGCGAAGGCGGCUCACUGGUCCGGAACUGACGCUGAGGUGCGGAAAGCGUGGGGGAGCAAACAGGG
rnacentral:rRNA from 1 species